AACGAACGCUGGCGGCAGGCUUAACACAUGCAAGUCGAACGGGUGUAGCAAUACAUCAGUGGCAGACGGGUGAGUAACACGUGGGAACCCUCCUAGAGGUACGGAACAACUCAGGGAAACUUGAGCUAAUACCGUAUACGCUCGUGAGAGGAAAGAUUUAUCGCCUUUAGACGGGCCCACGUCGGAUUAGCUAGUUGGUGGGGUAAUGGCCCACCAAGGCGACGAUCCGUAACUGGUCUGAGAGGAUGAUCAGUCACACUGGAACUGAGACACGGUCCAGACUCCUACGGGAGGCAGCAGUGGGGAAUAUUGGACAAUGGGCGAAAGCCUGAUCCAGCCAUGCCGCGUGUGUGAAGAAGGUCUUCGGAUUGUAAAGCACCUUAAGUCGGGAGGAAGGGCUGUAGGCUAAUACCUUGCAGUUUUGACGUUACCGACAGAAUAAGCACCGGCUAACUUCGUGCCAGCCGCCGCCGUAA
rnacentral:rRNA from 1 species